UUUUUUAAAUAGUAUUUUAUUACUUGGAUUUUAAAUAAGAAGUAUUAGUCUUUACAAACAUUUGCACGUGGUUAAAAACAUCAACAAUCGUAUGCAGUUUAAAGACUUUUGCUUUCCAAAUUAAAGAAUAAACACACUUCCUCAAGGACAUACUGCUCAGAUUAGACUACUGCUAUGUACUUAAAAUAAGUUAAAUUUAACCAUUCAUAUAAUAUUAAGGUAACAGAAUGAGAAUAUCUCUUCUUAAUACAAUUAAUAUUUAAUACAUGCUGUAUGUAUAUAUAUAUAUUCAAGGUAAAUGAAUAAAGAUAUGCCAUACCAACACUAAUCAAAUUAAAGCAGGAAAGCUGUAUACAUUUCAGACAGAGCAGACUUUAGAGCAAGGAAAGGAACCCAGAAUAAAGUAGGGCAUUACAUAAUGACAAAAAAGUCAAUCCUCCUAGAAGGCAUAAAGAUCCUCACUAUGUAUAAACUUAACAACACAGCAUCAAAAUAAAUGAGGCAAAAAUUAGUAGGACAGAACAGCAAAGAGAAAUAGAUGAAUUCACUAUUACAAUUGGAGAAUUUAACACCUGUUUUAUCAACAAUGGACAGAUCCAGCAUGUAGAUAAUCAGUAAGAACAUAAUUGAAGUCAACAAUAUCAUC
rnacentral:lncRNA from 1 species